rnacentral:rRNA from 1 species
UACGAGGGGGGCGAGCGUUGUUCGGAAUUACUGGGCGUAAAGCGCGUGUAGGCGGCUAAGUAAGUCGGGCGUGAAAUCCCACGGCUCAACCGUGGAAGUGCACUCGAAACUGCGUAGCUAGAGUCCUGGAGAGGAAGGUGGAAUGCUUGGUGUAGAGGUGAAAUUCGUAGAUAUCAAGCGGAACACCGGUGGCGAAGGCGGCCUUCUGGACAGUGACUGACGCUGAGACGCGAAAGCGUGGGGAGCAAACAGG